GCGGGCGUCGUAUAGUGGUUAUUAUGCAACCUUGCCAAGGUUGAGAUGGCGGUUCAAUUCCGCUCGCCCGCUCCA
rnacentral:tRNA from 1 species